UACGGGGGGAGCAAGCGUUGUUCGGAUUUACUGGGCGUAAAGGGCGCGUAGGCGGUCGUGACAAGUCACUUGUGAAAUCUCCGGGCUUAACUCGGAACGGUCAAGUGAUACUGUCGGACUAGAGUACGGAAGGGGCAACUGGAAUUCUCGGUGUAGCGGUGAAAUGCGUAGAUAUCGAGAGGAACACCUGCGGCGAAGGCGGGUUGCUGGGCUGAUACUGACGCUGAGGCGCGAAAGCCAGGGGAGCGAACGGG
rnacentral:rRNA from 1 species